GGACCAGCACAAGUAGAGGAGCAUGCGGUUUAAUUCGAUGCAACACGAAGAACCUUACCAAGGCUUGACAUACUCCAAAACUUUGCGAAAUCGAAGUGUGCCUUCGGGAAUGGAGCUACAGGUGGUGCAUGGCUGUCGUCAGUUCGUGCCGUAAGGUGUUGGGUUAAGUCCCGCAACGAGCGCAACCCUUAUGUUUUGUUAUUUUUCUAAACAGACUGCCGAUGAUAAAUCGGAGGAAGGAGAGGAUGACGUCAAGUCAUCAUGCCCCUUAUGCCUUGGGCUACACGCGUGCUACAAUGGAUGAGACAAAGAGCAGCAACCCUGCGAAGGCAAGCAAAUCUCAAAAACUCAUUCUCAGUUCGGAUUGGAGACUGCAACUCGUCUCCAUGAAGGUGGAUUUACUAGUAAUCG
rnacentral:rRNA from 1 species